rnacentral:piRNA from 1 species
GGCCAUGAUAACUUUUACCUUCAAAGUGUUC